UAGCCCAAAAGCUUUUAGGCCUCUGUCCUUUUUUUACUGUGAAAAGUUUUUUGUUUUUGACCCUGGGUGGUUGACGCAAGUCUUCUGCCCAAGAGUGUUGCCAUAUAGACAGUUGUGCCCUUAUUUCGUUCAUAGAGCUGUCAUAAUGGAUGAUAUUCACUCUUCGUUUUAGGUCAAGAGAACUCCAGGGUUCUUAUCUAUGAGGCGAAAUAUUUAGAACUAUUAUGAAUUUUUAUCUGAGUGACAUUAAUUAUAAAGUUAAUAAAACAACUUUCAACAAUGGAUCUCUAGGUUCUCGCAUCGAUGAAGAACGUAGCAAAUUGCGAUAACUAGUGUGAAUUGCAUUUUCAGUGAAUCAUCGAGUCUUUGAACGCAUCUUGCACUCUAGGGCAUUCCCUAGAGUACGCCUGUUUCAGUGACAGAAAGACCCCUCGCCCUAAAAUUUUUUUUUUUGGGCGGAAUUAAAGAAUUGGUUGAUUUCUCUCUCUUAGAGAGAGAAAAGAAACGAAUUAAAGUCUAAUGUUUGAUGGCUUAUUUUGAACUUAUAAGCUCUAUGCAGGAUUUUCUUGUAUCUUUUUGAAUUUCAAUAGGAUAUAAGUCCUCUAUGGAGUUGGUCCAUGAUUCGAGCCUAAACCACAAAUUUUAUUUCAUAUUUGUUCUG
rnacentral:rRNA from 1 species